rnacentral:rRNA from 1 species
AGAGUUUGAUCAUGGCUCAGAACGAACGCUGGCGGCAUGCCUAACACAUGCAAGUCGAACGUGAUCCAGGCUUCGGUCUGGUGAAAGUGGCAGACGGGUGAGUAACGCGUGGGAACCUGCCCUGUGGUAGGGAAUAACCGCGGGAAACUGCGGCUAAUACCCUAUGUGUCCUGAGGGACAAAGAUUUAUCGCCAUAGGAGGGGCCCGCGUCGGAUUAGGUAGUUGGUGGGGUAACGGCCUACCAAGCCUUCGAUCCGUAGCUGGUCUGAGAGGAUGAUCAGCCACACUGGGACUGAGAUACGGCCCAGACUCCUACGGGAGGCAGCAGUGGGGAAUAUUGGACAAUGGGGGCAACCCUGAUCCAGCAAUGCCGCGUGGAUGAUGAAGGCCUUCGGGUUGUAAAGUCCUUUCGGCGGGGAAGAUGAUGACGGUACCCGCAGAAGAAGCCCCGGCUAACUUCGUGCCAGCAGCCGCGGUAAUACGAAGGGGGCUAGCGUUGUUCGGAAUUACUGGGCGUAAAGGGCGCGUAGGCUGUGCUGCAAGUCAGGCGUGAAAGGCCCGGGCUCAACCUGGGAACUGCGCAUGAUACUGCGGCGCUUGAAGACGGGAGAGGAUGGCGGAAUUCCCAGUGUAGAGGUGAAAUUCGUAGAUAUUGGGAAGAACACCGGUGGCGAAGGCGGCCAUCUGGCCCGUGAUUGACGCUGAGGCGCGAAAGCGUGGGGAGCAAACAGGAUUAGAUACCCUGGUAGUCCACGCCGUAAACGAUGAGUGCUAGACGUCGGGGAGCUUGCUCUUCGGUGUCGCCGCUAACGCAUUAAGCACUCCGCCUGGGGAGUACGGUCGCA